AAGUCGUAACAAGGUAACCGUAGGUGAACCUGCGGUUGGAUCAUUAAAAAUAUGAGUAUUAAUCUGGGGGUUUCCCCUAGAUUAAUUACUAAACCCAACCCCUUUGUGAACUGUAAACGUACUUUGGCAGCCCUCCAAAAUUCUUUCGCAAGAAAGAAUGGGCUAUCAAUCAUGUUAAACACCUGUUUUAUUAUCUAUAGUAUUAAUGAGCAGCGAAAAGACUCCACUUGCGUGGGUUGCUUCAAAGCUACAUUUCUUUAUUGAAAUGAUUUGAAAACAACUUUUGACAACGGAUCUCUUGGCUCUC
rnacentral:misc_RNA from 1 species